UGGGUCUUCUCCUGGAAGCUGGUUUCAGGUGGUGGCUUAGAGUGCUUCAUGUUUUUCAUCUAGCACCAUUUGAAAUCAGUGUUCUUGGAGCAAGAGAGACA
rnacentral:pre_miRNA from 1 species